GCGGGGGUCGCCCAGCCAGGUCAAAGGCACCGGGGUUAAGUCCCGGCACCGUAAGGUUUCGAGGGUUCGAAUCCCUCCCCCCGCA
rnacentral:tRNA from 4 species